rnacentral:rRNA from 1 species
UACGGGGGGAGCAAGCGUUGUUCGGAAUCACUGGGCGUAAAGGGCGUGUAGGCGGUUCGGUAAGUGGGAUGUGAAAUGCCCGGGCUCACCCCGGGACCUGCAUCCCAUACUGCUGAGCUUGAGUACAGGAGAGGGUGGGGGAAUUCCUGGUGUAGCGGUGAAAUGCGUAGAUAUCAGGAGGAACACCGGUGGCGAAGGCGCCCACCUGGCCUGCUACUGACGCUGAUGCUCGAAAGCUAGGGGAGCAAACGGG